AUGACCAGCAGCCACCAGAAGAGGGGACACUUUCCAGAGAGGUGAAUGCCCAGUGGUGACACUUCUAAAGGUUGCACUUGCUCUGCUGUAGGAUCUCUUCAAAUGAGAAAUUAUUAUGUUUCCUAUCUCAGGUUUGAUAAUGCCUGAGGAAAGACCCUUUGGAACAGAAUGUGCAUGAAUAACAGUGUACAAGGAGAAGCCUGAGGAUACCUUCCUACUUUUCUGAUGCGCAAUACAUUUUAAUCUCUUUGCUUAGGGAAAAUGACCUACUACAAGCCUCAAAUGAUGUUCUUCAUCACACCUACUAGCUAUUAAUCUUAACUUAUGGGAUAAUGGGUUCCAAUUCUGUACUUUUGGUCGUGCUGAGCAUCAGGACAUCUCAGUGCGAAGUCUUGCUAUGAGGGGCAGACACAUAAGUCUAAUCUCAAUUACUGUCAUCUCCAUCUUUUAUCCCUGGCAUGUGCUACAACUCUUGGAAAUUCUCAGCAAUCACCCCUUUUCUUAAUGUUAUUCUAUUUCCAUUUUUACAGAUGCAUCAAACUAGCUUGAAGACAUGAUUUAAUAGUUUAUUAGACUACUGUAAGAACUCUGAUCUAAGUAAUUUAUGAUCUUUAAAAAACCUUCUAUUAACUGUAAUUCUGCUUUCAAAGUGCUUGAACAAAAUCUGAGUUUUAGCAUGUUGCAUCUGAAGAAAUGAGAUGGUGGCAAAGAUGCAGGGUUUCAGCAAAAAGAGGUGCUUAUGAAAGCUUUAAGGAAAUAAAGGGAGAAAUGGCAGUGAAGAUGGAAGUGAGACUGUGUCAGUCACCGAAGCUGGGAAAUGUGAACAUAAAGGCAGGAGGCCAGUGAAGGAAUUCCUUGAAAGAAAUGGAAUCCAGGACAGUGUGAAGGGGAAGAUGACUUGCUAUUAGAGCUCUACUGUGACCAUCCCAGGGUGAAGUAAAGAAGAGCUGUGAGGGGUUUGGGAGUCCAUGGAGGGAGGUCAGCAAUAGUCCUGUGGAGUGGUGAUAGAGCAUUUGCAGUGAGAGCUGUCUGGUGAGACUUUAGCUGAAGGAAUGACUGCUAGUGAAGCAAUGCAUCAGAGGCCGUGACUCUUGGCUGUGGAAAGAAUAGUGAGUGGCAAGGAAGACUGGAAUAAGAAGUAGGUGAAGAGAUAAAUAGAAUCUAUUUACUACAGAUUUGUGACAGGGUGGGCAUGAGCUGCUUUUUAUUGAAUAAAUUACUGUCACAGCAAAUACUGUGCAAUUGAAUCCAUUCUUUAUCCUGAAUGUCUAUAUUAGCUAAGUCACGGCUGUCUGUUCCAGGAUUGCAAGUGGAGACGAAGGGCUACUGGAAACCAGACUGCAGCUCUGCUUUCGCAUUUGUUCAACAUUAUCAUAUGUGCUGUGGGUUUAUUCUCUGCUUUUCUGAUUCUACUGAUUUCUGUUUCAGCUCCUGCUGAGGGGUGGAGGGUGUUAUUAUUUGUGUUGUUAAUAUUUGUUAUGUGUGUUAUUUAAGGAAGAGCAAAGUUCAAGAUCACUAGUAAAUACUACAAACUACCUAUGAGUAGGUGCAGUCUGGAAUAGAAAGAUUCAGAAGCCUUUUCCCUGUCAGGAUAUAUGUACUGAAUCUCAGUCCUUGUGAUUCAUUUCUCCUAGGUUUGCCCUAUAAAAUUUUUAAAUAAAUAUAGAUAUUUGUCGCUGGACUGUGGAAUACCUCCUAUAUUGGCUAUAUAUAUUAAUCAUAUUAUUUUAUUAUUAUUAGUGAAAUAAAUUCAAACGUUUCAUUGCAAUGGUGAAGUGUGAAUAUAACUUCUAAAAGCUGGAACCCAACCUCUAUGGCAAUGUCAAUGGAAGGUCCUGUUAGAUGUCCAACCUCUAACAACACAGAUUCCAUUUUUGAUGUUUAAAAUAAGGUAAAUCGAACAAACCACACCUUUUGGCUACGAUCAUCUAAUGACUUCUGGUGAUGUGAUUCACAUGCCAUUCUUGAGGAGGAAGCUGGCUUGCUUUCUCCUGCCUUGGUCACAGAGCUGCCAUGGAGGGCAAUCCUCAGUCACAGACGGAAACUUCUUGGAAAUCCAGCCCAAGGCAACCUAGAGCCUGAAGGAAAUGGCAUUGCAGCAUUAUCAAGAGAUUGCCAGCUGGUGACAAGAACAAGUUCAAGGUGUUCAUACCCUUAAAGACCUGAGGAAAGAACUAUUCAGGAUAAUGACAUGGCAGCUGUUCCCCAUGUUGUGAUGUGGUACAGACGUCCUAAACAGUUAUUUGAGUAGAAGUACACCACUACGUCAGCCGCUCCUUUGGACACCUAUGCUCUGGACAGACCAUGCAGGUGAGUGAAAAGGAGAAGCUCCCCUGUUUCUACACCCAUGGAGUCCCCCAGAGAAAACAAAUCCAGGAAACUUCUUCAGCCCACUCCUAGCCCCAGCCUCUGUCAGUGAUCCCCUGUUCCAGUACUUCUUGUUCUAGCCUGAGUAAGUGGGCUGCUUUUCUAUGGGUUUCUUUUUUAGGGGUACAAGUUGCAGCUUCUGCCAGAAGAGUUUCUGGCUUCCUCUAGAGCCACUGAGUUGUGCUCCUAAGAAGUGCCAGGUAGGCCAGUUAAUGGAGUACAAGGAAGAAUAAUGUCUACUGUGUGCCCAUCUUUUCAGAGACCUCUUUAGGUGUAGGCUGAAAGGACACAAAAUGUCAGCAGAAUCUAGACCACACGGUGGAGGUUGAGGCAUCUCCUCUCCAUAAAAAGGAGAGGCAUAACAUCUUGGGUGCAGGUGGCCUUUCAUGAGGUUCGGAAGGCAUGGCCACUCCAUAAACAGAGCAUUUUGGCCAAAAGCCUAGGUACAUGGCAGAAAGCCAAUAUUUCAAGAUUAAAAAAAAGGGAGAUAAUGAGACAGAACAGAAGGUCUUGUGUCACUGUGGACAGGGGGAGAGAAGGUUUCCUUGGUGAAUGGGUACCUUUUUUUUUUUUGUCCUGCAGGAUGCAAACAGUUGCAUCCACCUCUUACCUUUCUGGCCUUUAUCAAGUCUGGCUCUCCCAUCCAUCUGAGAUGCUUACACAGCCUUGUUUUCUCCCCUGCUCUCUCCACCACCUCCAGAGAAGCAGACAGCAAGCAAAUGUCUCCUCACUCUCCCCCUUUUCCUGAGCUGCAUGGCACAGCCACUUGCCUGUCAGCUGCAUUUUUCUCCAGCAAAACACACAUCCCUCAGGCUAUGAUGUUUCCUGAGGGUUGUGGAGGCAGCCGUCAUAGCCACAUGCCAGAACCCUCAAAAGGUCAAAAAAAGACACAGUGGGCCAGGGUGGACACAGAGUAACCAUGCUGUGUGGAUUGAUGUCCCCCAGGGAAUGAGUAGGUAAAGCAGGUAAACCUAAACCCCUCCUCUAGGAAACAGAAUGAGACAGAAAUAUCAUGUACAGUUAAUUGGACUCCACCCUAACCUGCUCAGUUCACCCCACUAAUGAACCGUGUCAGACAUAGGGGGUCAUCUGGCUUCUCCAGCUAUUCACAGACUGCAGAAGAUGGGCAUAAAGCUGCUGAAGAAACUAGUCCUUGUUCUCCUGGUCCAGAUGGAAAGGCUCUGCCGGUUCCUUGCAGAAGCUGAGUAGGACUCAGCAGUCAUCAGGGCUGCAAUGAUUUGUGCAGCUUGUGCGGUUUGCACAUUUGUGUCUAGUCUGUCAAUCAGCACCUGCCAUAUUGCAGUCAAGGAAAAAAAGCACAUUCUACUUAUUCGUAGCAUUUCAUAGCCCUGUCCUCCACGGUCGUGUGGGUAUGGCUUCAUCAUCCAACAGCACAGAGGGGUUUCAGCCUCUUCCACUUCAUGCUGUGAAUGAUCCUACCUGGGAAAGUUUCAGCAUCCCCUUUGAACCUGAUGCUGGAGGCAGGGAAAGCACAGGUAUCAUGAGGCCUUCUAGUGAAGGCUGCCAGGAUGUCUGUCAAUCCAUGUCGGUGGGUUCACUGAGACCUACAGACAACUGACUGGUAGCCCUUGUGGCAGUUGCAGCUGCUCUGGGACAAGCACUGGAUGAGAAAGUGUGUCUUGUCAGACAGGGAAACCAUGGGGAGUGGUGGCCUGGACGGUUUAGAGACUGACUUGUGCAGUCUAAACUAAGAAGGUUUGGAGGAUGGCUUCAGGAUCUUUAAUUGUGACUUUGCCCAUGUUGGGUUUGUCCACUACAGCCUGCUUGGCUGCUGCCUAGUGGGACUCAGAGGUUACUGUGAGGGGCAACCACCAUGCAGCCACACACUGCGGUUGUGAGGUGGCAUUGCCAGCAGGGUUCAUUUUGAAGUUUUGCACCUCGCUGAUGGUUGGCCCACUGCUCUGAGGUCAUCUCCCUCACUCAGAGUCUUCAGAUGAUGUGUGACAAGUGAGUUACAGAGAUAAAAACUUUCAGAAGCUCAACGCCUUUAUCUCCUUCUUAUGGUAAAGGAUUGGCCAGGAAGAACUAGUUCAAUCUGAGUGUCCUCUUGCAGCAAAUGCAGUAUGAAGCCUCUUAUUCUGCCUCCGUCUGUGACCAAACUCCGUGCUGUGAGGAGGUCUGGAGAGCAGGCCUAUGGUGUCACCAGGCCUAUGGGACAAGGCACAAAUCCACUCCUGCUUCACUGUGUUCCUUGUUAGCAAGCAGUGCUCAAGCGAAAACUUAAAUGUUUUAAUUUGUGGGGAGCCAAGUGUGCAAAUAUUCACUUGUGUCUUAUAAGCUGUUCUGUAGAAGUGCAAAUCUAAUGGACUAGACUUGAUUCCAGCACCCAGCAAAACUGCAGGUCAUUUACUGCGCUUCCUGUCACGGCUCCCAGCUGAUAUCAUAAUGUGAGAAAAAGUUGCUGGUUUCCUGUGUGAGCUCUGCCAUGGCCGGGGAAGAUGUGUUGACCUCAGGGUGAGAUAUCUUACAAACACCCUCAUCACUGCUGAAUGUGUUAUUUACCAUUGUCUCCGUUGAUUUUCCUUUUUUGUCCUUUGCUUUUUAAAACGUUGCUGGUUAAAGUUAGGCCCCAGCUUUGCCAAUGCUUUUGGAAAACAUCCACAUAAAAGUCCUGCCUAGGAAACCAAGAAAUGAUUUAGUUGGGUAAGAGUUUGAUGGAAUAUUACUGUUUAGCAUUCAUUUACCACAAGGUAGUAAAGGAAAGUGCCAUUUUAAGCACAGGAGUGAAUUCCAUGAGUGGUGAACGCCCACAUUGCAGUAAGUUCACAGCCUAAGCUCCUCAAUGUGACUUUUUAUUCUAUGUAACUAACUAAAAAGAUAAAUUUAGAUUUAAUGGUAGUUUUAAUGAUUAUCAUAAUUUGUUCCAUUAUUAUUUUAUGUGAUUGCUACCUUUUUUUUUAAAAUACCUUUUUCCCUAAUAGAAGAUUUGAUAGUGAGCCACAGCAUCUUAAAAAAUUUGCGUUAUUGUAUCACGGGCUUUUAAAAAGGGGGAUCUGAGUUGCUAGUAACAGAAAAUGCUAGAGAUGUGUUUGUUCAAUUUUUCUGAAGAAAAUUAUCUAGCAAGUAGAACAUUUGUCUUGCACGAUGCUUAUCAGAGAAGACAGAAUUAAAAAAAAAAUUAUACAUUGAAAAAAUAGCAUCUGAUUUCAUACAACAUGUUCUGCCAGAUAUUCUGAGACAGCACCAGAAGGCACCACAUUUCAAGUGGCAACAACAUGUCACAGAAAUAUCUGGAAAGUCUCCUUUUCUUUAAAAUUUCUGUUUAUCAUGCACUUGUUAUCAAGCUGGCCUGUUUGUUUUUACCUUAAUUUCCCCAUUUUCCAAUCAGCAGGUACAUUUUUGCUUUCCAGAUAGAAUCUGAUUGUCAGGGAUUUAAAAGCGUAAACAAGAAUGACAUAAUUUAAAAAAAAUUAUAUAUAUAUUUAAAAUAAUUAAUUCCUACAGCAGACAUUGAAUCAUAUUGACUUCAGUUCCUUGUUCUCAUGUACAUAAGAAAUGACAAAAAAGAAUAUCUAUUUCAACAGCUUCUUCACCUGCAGUGCUCCUGGUGGUGAAUUGCUAGGCUGAUUUAAAGGAAGAUACAGAGCGUCUGGAGAAAGAGUAAAUAAAGGACUUAUGUUGUUUAUUCCCUGGUAUGGCUCACUUGACUGAUGCAGGCUUUCUGCGUAUCCUCAGGCAUAUUCCAUAGCGUGUUUGUGCUUGAAUGCCCUUUCUGCGAACAGGAUAAUAGUAUUUCUUCUGUCUAUUUAUACAGUAAUUUCCAUGUGACAGAAACUGGUUCUUAUGAUAUAUUGGCACAGAAUCCACCGGUGUGAUCCCCUAAUAUUGGUUCUGUAAAUUGAUGGUAAAACCCAACUCAUACAAAUAUGAAAAAUUAAAUGUUAAUUCCUCAGCUGAAAUCUCAACACAAAUUAAUUUCAUGCGUUUGAAUAAGUGCUUUUCUUCUUGGCAAUAGGCUCACUGGUCAAAACAUAAUGGAUUUGGCAAAGUCUGCUAACAUCACAUUUGAACCAAAAGCCUAAGUGCCGCUGGAAGGCACUUAGAAUGGUAGGUAUUCUGAAUAUUGGGUAUUCAUUCAAGGAAGCAUGCAGAGCUUCCUUGAGUUACAUAGAUUGAGACAGAAGGAAAAAGAGAGAAAGAUAACUGAAACUCUGAAAUAGCCUAUUUUCUGACCUCUAGCAAUUCUUCUUCCACUCCUGUUUUCCCAUACCUAAAUUGAGACAAGCCUGAAGACAACAAUUUCACUUGGGUAGUGUCUGUCUGUUGAUUUUUAGAAAAACAUCCUUCCUUGUGUGUCACGGAUGGAGAAAUAGUGAUGCACUUCACUUUUAAAAGAGAAGGCACAAUGCAUUUAUUGAUAUAAAGCAGAGAUUUGACAAAGUAUGAUGAUAAAUGCAACAAUGAUUUACAAGGUUUGAUGGCAAGGUACACUUGAUUAUUUACUGUGCAGAGAACAGGGUCAGA